rnacentral:rRNA from 1 species
UGGGGAAUAUUGCACAAUGGGGGAAACUCUGAUGCAGCGACGCCGCGUGAGCGAAGAAGCCUUUCGGGGUGUAAAGCUCUUACGCCAGGGACGAUAAUGACGGUACCUGGAGAAGCAGCUGCGGCUAACUACGUGCCAGCAGCCGCGGUAAUACGUAGGCAGCAAGCGUUGUUCGGAAUUACUGGGCGUAAAGGGUGCGUAGGCGGCGCUCUAAGUUUGGUGUGAAAUCUCCCGGCUUAACUGGGAGGGUGCACUGAAAACUGGGGCGCUCGAGUAUGGGAGAGGAGAGCGGAAUUCCUGGUGUAGCGGUGAAAUGCGUAGAGAUCAGGAGGAACACCUGCGGUGCAGACGGCUUUCUGGACCAUCACUGACGCUGAGGCACGAAAGCGUGGGUAGCAAACA